ensembl:lncRNA
AUUAUAUUAUUUAGCGUGUAAUGAGACAAUCUAUAGCCAAAUUGUCGAAGAUGCCCGAGAAUCUCCGGGGAUAUCAGCAUGGGAAAUCGGCGAAUCAGACCCAUGAACCUAUAAAGAAAGACGUCAUCUCAAGCGGGAGAGAACGUUUGCGGUGCUGGUUUGUGUCACUAGAGUGGUGGAGGGAUGACGUAUGUUGGCCAACCCGGAAGUGAGCGUCGCCCUGGAUUCCCUCGACAAAAAGGGGGAGGUAGACGACCAAGGAUGAGAGGAGGGAGUGGAGAAGAACAGAGGAUGGACACAGGAUGACCAGCAGCAUCCAGCACAAUGCACAGUCUGCAGAAGGACCAGGGUCUUAGCACAUGGGGACUGUGUAUCAUUGCUGUUAAAUUGUAAUAUCAAAAUCAAAAUUGUAUUUACUUUUAAGACUUUGCAGAAAGCCCAUCAUUCAGAC